AAAAAUGACCAUCAAAAAACAAAAUCUGAAAAACCAACACACCAUCGAGUUUCAGAGUUUCUUAUUCUUUUUCUUCCCUUGUUUAAGUUUUCCCCUUUUUUUUCUUCUCCUCUUGGUUAACGAUUUCAAGAU
rnacentral:ribozyme from 1 species